GACGAACGCUGGCGGCGUGCUUAACACAUGCAAGUCGAACGGAAAGGCCCUGCUUUUGUGGGGUGCUCGAGUGGCGAACGGGUGAGUAACACGUGAGUAACCUGGGCUGGACUUUGGGACAACUUCAGGAAACUGGGGCUAAUACCGGAUAGGAGCUCGUGCUGCAUGGUGGGGGUUGUAAAGUUUCGGCGGUUGGGGAUGGACUCGCGGCUUAUUAGCUUGUUGGUGGGGUAGUGGCUUACCAAGGCAUUGACGGGUAGCCGGCCUGAGAGGGUGACCGGCCACAUUGGGACUGAGAUACGGCCCAGACUCCUACGGGAGGCAGCAGUGGGGAAUAUUGCACAAUGGGCGGAAGCCUGAUGCAGCAACGCCGCGUGCGGGAUGACGGCCUUCGGGUUGUAAACCGCUUUCGCCUGUGACGAAGCGUGAGUGACGGUAAUGGGUAAAGAAGCACCGGCUAACUACGUG
rnacentral:rRNA from 1 species